UACGAAGGGGGCUAGCGUUGUUCGGAAUCACUGGGCGUAAAGGGCGCGUAGGCGGCUUUAUAAGUCGGGGGUGAAAGCCUGUGGCUCAACCACAGAAUUGCCUUCGAUACUGUAGAGCUUGAGACCGGAAGAGGUAAGUGGAACUGCGAGUGUAGAGGUGAAAUUCGUAGAUAUUCGCAAGAACACCAGUGGCGAAGGCGGCUCACUGGCCCGGUACUGACGCUGAGGUGCGAAAGCGUGGGGAGCAAACGGG
rnacentral:rRNA from 1 species